rnacentral:rRNA from 1 species
AUGCCCCGACCGCUGGCGCGACACCUUCCACCCAAAUCACUGACCCCUCCACCAAAUAAGCGCCGCCCUAAGCCAUGGUGCACGCAGUAUAGCCAGGAUCUCAAGGAGCAGUUGGCAGCGGAGAAGCAAAUCGCGGCCACACGCGCGGAUGAGUUAGCGAUGGCUGCCAUUCGUGCCGACCCCCAGAUCUUGGAGGAGCACCUCGCCAUCGAGGCCACCGUCGAUGCCUCGCGCGCCGACGCUGCGACGCAGUUGGCUGCUUUAAACGACAGUUCGUGGCGUUUUCACGAGGCCACCAUCAGUGCCUUCGACGAAGACUACGAGGUGUUUUCUCAGCGUGCACGUGCUUACAUCAUCUCGAGAGCCAGCAAGUUGGUGUCCGGAGCAACUUGGGCAACUCACCACUACGACGAGGGCACCCACGAUGCGGAGGUUUUGGCCUCUUCCAUGUCCAGGGAGCCAAUCGUCAUCGAUAUCUCCGACAAUGAGGAGUAG